UACGUAGGGUGCAAGCGUUUGUCCGGAAUUAUUGGGCGUAAAGAGCGUGUAGGCGGCCCGAUUAGUCCGCUGUGAAAGUCCAGGGCUCAACCCUGGAAUGCCGGUGGAUACUGUCGGGCUAGAGUCCGGAAGGGGCGAGUGGAAUUCCUGGUGUAGCGGUGAAAUGCGCAGAUAUCAGGAGGAACACCAAUGGCGAAGGCAGCUCGCUGGGACGGUAUUGACGCUAAGGCGCGAAAGCGUGGGGAGCAAACAGG
rnacentral:rRNA from 1 species